rnacentral:ncRNA from 1 species
UGGUUGUGACCCCUGUAGCGUUCAUAGCGAUGUCGCUUUUUGAUCCUUCGAUGUCGGCUCUUCCUAUCAUUGUGAAGCAAAAUUCACCAAGCGUUGGAUUGUUCACCCACUAAUAGGGAACGUGAGCUGGGCUUAGACCGUCGUGAGACAGGUU